CUCCGUCCUCCCCUUGCGGUGAAAAACAGAUUGGGCCGCCUCUGGGUUCAAAUCCACCCGUGAGAAUAGCAAAGGUCUCAUUUGCACCAAGAGGAGAGUCCAGAAGGGACUCUCUCCUUAAUGGAGGGUCGAUCCUUCCCUGUAAAGUCCCUUCCUUCACCAAGAGGGGACUUCGGAGGUGGGUAUCUGUGACCCACACACCCCCUCUCUCUCUGGCUGCCCUCAGCUUCGUCCGUCUCUCUUCGCACCUAGGUCUUGAGAAUGAUGGUGGGCCUCCAGGUGACCAACGACCAGCUGGAGAACAUCACCGACCGGACCAUCCAGGAGGCCGACAGAGACGGAGACAACGCCAUCUCCUUUGAGGAGUUUGCCAAGUCGGUGGAAAAGCUGAAUAUUGAGGGGAAGAUGAGCCUCCGAAUCCUGAAAUGAGGUCCCCAAAAAAAGGAUUUUAAUGGCGAAGGGCGAGGAAUCGGAUCCGAUCUCUCAUGGGUUCCUGAGUGUGCACAGAAAGCUUGUUUCAGAGAUGCGACCCAUGAGUUCGGACAACUGACGCUUCCAGCUUGGCCUGCUGACUUAGGAAUUAAGAGAACUGUGAUCCAAAAAUAAGCCAUUUGAGGUGCUUCAUGGUAAUCCUCGACUUACGACCAUUCGUUUAGUGUCUGUUCGAAGUUACAACGGCAUUGAAAGAAAAAUUUUCCCCACUCACAGCAAUCCCCAUUAUCACCUGAACGGACUCAGGCGCUUGGUGACUGAUUCGUGUUUACGACGGUUGAAGAGUCCUAGGGGGUCACGUUAUUCUCUUUGGCCACCAGCAAAGUCAAUGGGGAGGGGAGCCAGAUUCGCUUAACGACCGUGUGUCUGCCUUAACAACUUCAGGGAUUCACUUAACAGCUGUAGGACUCAAUUUAAGACCCGCAGCAAUCUGGUUAACAACCGUGACCAGAAAAUUUUGCAAAAAUCCAUUUCACAAGUGUCUUGCUUAUUAGCAAAGGGAAAUUUGGCGCUCGAUCGUGGUCGUAAGUCAAGGACUAGCCGUGUUUUGUGUGUGUGUGCGUGUAGGGCAGGCACUUGGGUCUGCUUCACAUAAUGGGAAAGCUGUGCUGAAUGGAUGACUUGUGCAGAAGUAUAGAUUAGAAGAGAGCUUGAAGGGACCCUGGAGGUCUUCUAGUCCAACCCCCUGCUCAAGUAGGAAACCCCACGCCAUUUCAGACAAAUGGUGGUCCAAUCUCUUCUGGAUUGCAUGUUCUGGAUGUUUUGCAAUGGAUCCAGGAAAUAAAAAGUGCAUGAAAGGAAUUCCACAAUUUACAACAACUUGUUUCGCGACGGAUGAAAGUUACAACAGCCAGUCCUCCUCCUUAUGACCGUUGCAGGAUCCCUGGAGCAUGUGGUCACUACUUGUGACUUUCCCAGCCACUUCAGACAAGCAAAGUCGGGGGGGGGGGGAAAUGGCCACUAAGUGAGGCCAGCAAAAUUCCGUGCAGGACUUGAACCAUUAUGCAGAUUAAUUAAAUGCUUCAUUAGCCUGGA